AACAACAAAAUGACAUUGUCAUCGAUAACAUAUAUUAUAUAACAUCCAAAAUAUUCAUACAUUGUCAUCCAAAUAUUCAUAAAUAUCACAUACAUUUAUGUCUAACAAUUCUCCCACCAUAUAAGCACUAGGUUAUUCAUAUCGCCCAAUUUUAUACUAACUACACCACCAGGGACAAGAAUAGCACCAUCUUCUCCAUGGAAUUAAUAAAGCUUGACCCAGACUAGAGGGCUUUCCAGCAAGCGCAAGAGCGAAACAAGUGUGUCACUCUUUAUGCCAUUGUCACCAUUGGAUUGAUUAAUCAUCUGUGAUAUGCGCAAAGCACAGAGACCUAAUUUGGUUUGUCCUGUAAAGAAGAAUAUGAGCAGAUUCAGAAUGCUUACUAUGCAAACCUGAUGAAAUUAUUGAAAAAAAAGCCAACAUCAAUACACGUGAUUAGGAGAACACAAAGACGUCAAUUCUAUAAAACCAAAUGAGGAAUGGAAUAGAAUAUGGAAGCAACGUGAGAAUCACAAGGUAAAGAGCCAAAGAAAACAAAAACCUCGUAGAGAUGUCUCAUCAUUAAGGUACUCGAUGAACAGUUUCAGUGCUGCAUCUAUUCCUUUACACUGAACUUCAAGUUCAACUAGGCCUCUGCUUGAUGAACUUAUGAUCCUAAAUAAGUGUGCACACUAUGUUAGCAAUGAAUCAAUCAAGCAUACACAAAAAAGCAGGGAAGAACUUACAAGAGGAAUGACUUCUGAUAGUUUGAGUGCCAUUUGAGUAAGUGACUGGAUACAACAGAUUGUCAAAAUCCCAUUGUGACUUGGCAUCAACCUGUUUUUAAAAUUUGAAAAUUAGAAUUUAAAACAAGCAUUUUUACAACUAACAGUAGUUGGCAACUCAAAUACUAAUUGGCAUUAUUGUGUUAUUCACGUUAAAAACAAAAGAGUCUAACAUAAUCCUUAAAAUUAAAAACUUUCACAUAGACCGGCAUCUUGUAACCAACAAACUAUAAUUAGUACCUGUCGAAUUGCAAAAGACGAUCAAGACGCUUCAGCAAGGAGGGUAAAUAGAUGACACUCUGUACAAGAUCAACCACAAAAAAUCAAAAUACUGCUCAGCCCUCUGAAUUUAGUUAUUAAUCAGCGACAGACUGACAAAACAUGGAUGAUGGAAAAAUUAAACCGAAUUUCUAAUAAACUAGAAUAAUGGAUUUAUGUCCUAAACCUGAAAUUAGUACCUCAAUGUAGCAGCAGGCCUCAAAAUCUUAUUCGGGUCAUUUUUACCAUUGGCAUAAAUUAGUUCUAAAUCUAUAUUCACAUAUAUGAUCAAUACUCGCCUUAGUUUUAUAUGCUGAAAUUAAACCAAACAUUCAAUAAAGUUCACCAACUCUCCAGUCAAAGAGCUUAUCAAUAAGCUGCUCUAUGAUAUUUAAAAUACAAACAUUUUCAUGCAAAGAAAUUAUGUCCGAGAAAAAUGAGUUCUGAAUCAUCUGCUUUGAUAUUACUUAGGCCAGCGUGAGGUGAAAAAUGUCCUCAUCCUCAUGAGAAAGAAAAUGUUGAAGAUUGGUAAAUUAUAGGAGCAAAGAUCCCCUAUAAACGGAGCUGUCAUUGCAAUUGAAAACAUAAGAUUCUGGUGUCCUGUUAGCUAAUGUUGCAUCUCUAAAACAUAAAUUUAAAUUAUGAUGAGCAUCUAUGAGACAGUAUUGGCCACAUACUGGAGAAGGCAAUGAAAAUUCAUAAAGAGAAANUAAAUUUAAAUUAUGAUGAGCAUCUAUGAGACAGUAUUGGCCACAUACUGGAGAAGGCAAUGAAAAUUCAUAAAGAGAAACUACAUACAUCUUCUUGUAAGAGAGAAACAUGAGGGGAGGAAGAGGGAGCAGUGACAACAAGAGCAAGCAUCAUCACUAAAGUGAAUCAUAUCAUAUACCUGCUGUCCAAAUUCAAGUUCGCCAACAGACUGGACCAAUGCAGCUACCAAGAAAACAUCCGAGUAAGUGUUCCCACUGUUAUCAUUGUACUACAAGCAUAAUGCAGCCAUAACAAAAAUCAGGAAAAAGCAAUCUCAUUGGAACAAUCAGUCAACAAUAAAUUCAAUCCCACCAUAUAAGCACUAGGUUCUUCAUAUCGCCCAAUUUUAUACUAACUACUCCACCAGGGACAAGAAUAGCACCAUCUUCUCCAUGGAAUUAAUAAAGCUUGACCCACACUAAGCCAAAGACCAACUAAAGAGCAUAACUACGUUAACAAGGGAGAAUUUCAUCGACAAACAAGGAAAGAACUCUUUUGAGAUAAGAAAAAAAAUCCAAUAUCUGAACUGAACCUGUGUUCUUCCAACCAAGCUCCAGCAAAGGAUCCAUGCCUUGAUUCGUGAUGCUCACAGUCAUCUCCUCCCACAAUUGAUGGCUUCUCAUGGCCAAUUCUCAUUUCUCACUCCCUAGGAUUUUGUGAACCCCCCAUAUGUAACCCUGCCCUGAACUCAGCAAAUUAGCUCAAAUUCCAAACACAAUAACGAAGUGAGGAAGCAUUUUGUUUUAUUUUUACCCGAAGACCCAUCUUUCUGACCCGUUUCUGAAAAACCCUAGCCCCCCGCCGCCGCACACUCGGCCGCCGUCUACACUCCAGCCGUCUGGACGGUCGCCGAAAUGCAUCGUCAUGCCUCGAUCAUUCACCGUCCAUCGGCAGCGUCGCUACGACUUAUCUCUGCAAACUCCCCGUCGCGCGAGGACGGUCUGCAGUACUCUGAAGAGCCUUUGUCCGACGCCUAUCAUCGCCAACAGCACCAGCCCCGGCGACGCCCAAUUUUCCCCAUCCCUCAGCCACCGCCACCCUCACACAGCACACACACACAAAUCGAGAAUAGGAGAGAGA
rnacentral:lncRNA from 1 species